AGUGAACGCUGGCGGUAGGCCUAACACAUGCAAGUCGAACGGCAGCACAGUAAGAGCUUGCUCUUACCGGUGGCGAGUGGCGGACGGGUUAGGACUACAUCGGAAUCUACUUUUUCGUGGGGGCUGACGUAGGGGAACUUACGCUAAUACCGCAUACGACCUACGGGUGAAAGCAGUGGAUCUUCGGACCUUUCGCGAUUGAAUGAGCCGAUGUCGGAUUAGCUAGUUGGCGGGGUAAAGGCCCACCAAGGCGACGAUCCGUAGCUGGUCUGAGAGGAUGAUCAGCCACACUGGAACUGAGACACGGUCCAGACUCCUACGGGAGGCAGCAGUGGGGAAUAUUGGACAAUGGGCGCAAGCCUGAUCCAGCCAUACCGCGUGGGUGAAGAAGGCCUUCGGGUUGUAAAGCCCUUUUGUUGGGAAAGAAAAGCAGCAGGUUAAUACCCCGCUGUUCUGACGGUACCCAAAGAAUAAGCACCGGCUAACUUCGUG
rnacentral:rRNA from 1 species